UCGGGAAUUUUGGGCAAUGGGCGAAAGCCUGGCCCAGCAACGCCGCGUGAAGGAUGAAGUAUUUCGGUAUGUAAACUUCGAAAGAAUAGGAAGAAUAAAUGACGGUACUAUUUAUAAGGUCCGGCUAACUACGUGCCAGCAGCCGCGGUAAUACGUAGGGACCAAGCGUUGUUCGGAUUUACUGGGCGUAAAGGGCGCGUAGGCGGCAAUUCAAGUCAUCUGUGAAAUCUCCGGGCUUAACUCGGAACGGUCAGAUGAUACUGCUUUGCUAGAGUGCAGAAGGGGCAAUCGGAAUUCUUGGUGUAGCGGUGAAAUGCGUAGAUAUCAAGAGGAACACCUGAGGUGAAGACGGGUUGCUGGGCUGACACUGACGCUGAGGCGCGAAAGCCAGGGGAGCAAACGGGAUUAGAUACCCCCGUAGUCCCUGAGCGGGCUGGCAAGGCGCAU
rnacentral:rRNA from 1 species